rnacentral:rRNA from 1 species
ACAAAGGGCUGCAAGUUCGCGAGGACAAGCAAAUCCCAUAAACCGUGGCUCAGUUCAGAUCGUAGGCUGCAACUCGCCUACGUGAAGGCGGAAUCGCUAGUAAUCGCAGGUCAGCAUACUGCGGUGAAUACGUUCCCGGGCCUUGUACACACCGCCCGUCACACCAUGGAAGUUGGCCACGCCCGAAGCCGUUACUCCAACCCUUGUGGAGGAGGACGUCGAAGGUGGGGCUGAUGACUGGGGUGAAGUCGUAACAAGGUAGCCGUACCGGAAGGUGCGGAUGGAUCACCUCCUAAC